rnacentral:rRNA from 1 species
CAGUAGCCGCGGGAAUACGAGGGGUGCAAGCGUUAUUCGGAUUGAUUGGGUGUAAAGGGUGUGCAGACGGCUUAUUAAGUCACUUGUUAAAUUCUUCGGCCUAACUGAAGGUCUGCAAGUGAUACUGAUGAGCUAGAGGGUGGAAGAGAGAAGUGGAAUUCCACGUGUAGCGGUGAAAUGCGUAGAGAUGUGGAGGAACAUCAGUGGCGAAGGCGACUCUCUGGUCUGUAACUGACGCUGAGGAGCGAAAGCGUGGGGAGCGAACAGGAUUAGAUACCCCUGUAGUCCCUGUCUCUUAUAC